GACGAACGCUGGCGGCGUGCUUAACACAUGCAAGUCGAGCGGAAAACUUCGGUUUUCAGCGGCGGACGGGUGAGUAACACGUGGGCAACCUGCCUCACAAUGAGGGAUAGCCUUCCGAAAGGAAGAUUAAUACCUCAUAACACAAGAGAAACGCAUGUUUCUCUUGCCAAAGAAUUUCGUUGUGAGAUGGGCCCGCGGCGCAUUAGCUUGUUGGUAAGGUAACGGCUCACCAAGGCUUCGAUGCGUAGCCGACCUGAGAGGGUAAUCGGCCACAUUGGAACUGAGACACGGUCCAGACUCCUACGGGAGGCAGCAGUGGGGAAUAUUGCACAAUGGAGGAAACUCUGAUGCAGCAACGCCGCGUGAGUGAUGAAGGUCUUCGGAUUGUAAAACUCUGUCUUCUGGGACGAUAAUGACGGUACCAGAGGAGGAAGCCACGGCUAACUACGUGCCAGCAGCCGCCGUAA
rnacentral:rRNA from 1 species